rnacentral:lncRNA from 1 species
UUCCCUCACUACCCUCCUUAUACACACACACACACACACACACACACACACACACACUCAGGGAGAAGAAAGUGAAUGGAUAAGAUCUCUCAGGCUGCACACUCCCAGUAAUUAAUAACAGGCAAGCGCCUUCCGUCAAGGGCUUGCUGAGAUGUGGGGCGGUGGAUGAGGGCUGUGUGUAAGCAGCAUGGAUUGCCAGCCAGCAAAGGACGCAGACAGAGCCUGCACCCACCAGGCCUCAGAGCCCUGAGAGCAAGUAAGGACAAGACACAGACCCAUGGAGCGUGGCACUAAUUCCGGGGAUGUGGACUUGCUCCAUUGACAGGGUAUGAUGACAGCUUUGGUGCUGCCACAGAAGUAUGUUCACUAUUCAGCUUGCCAAGUGAAGAACCAAAGAUGCAAGAGCAUGAAGUUCUAAGAGCAUAGCUGGGCCAAGGGAUCAGGAGUGCUGCCUGGAUUGUGCUGACUACUUCUUGAACACCCUCUCACCCAGCCUUGCUGCAGCCUUACCUGCAAACCCACCUGUGGUGGAAUGGGAGGGGCUGUUCUUAUCCUCAUCUGAUAGAUGAGAAGACUGUGACUCAGAGAGGUGAAUGACUUGGCCAAAGUCUAGCAACCAACGUUUUUCAGAGUGCUGUCCUGCUCUGAUGCUGACACUCUUAGUCUCUCACCCCCUAGAUUUCCCAAGCAGGAGGGCCACUCAAUUUCUGCAUCAACCAAAUGCAAGGAACACACUUGAAGGCUCUCCAAGUGGUCCUGCUGAAGUCCCCAUCACUUCUCAAAUGGACCAGAUGACACCUCAACCAAACUAAUAUUCUCCAAUCGAUGAACUCAUAAGCUCAUAAAACAACGUGGAAAGAGAAGGAGGAGGUCAGAGAAGACGGCAUGAAUGAGCAAAGAGGCUGCCAUUCCUCAAAGAU